AUUGAACGCUGGCGGCAGGCCUAACACAUGCAAGUCGAGCGAGCGGCGGACGGGUGAGUAAUGUCUGGGAAACUGCCUGAUGGAGGGGGAUAACUACUGGAAACGGUAGCUAAUACCGCAUACCAUCAGAUGUGCCCAGAUGGGAUUAGCUAGUAGGUGGGUUAACGGCUCACCUCGGCGACGAUCCCUAGCUGGUCUGAGAGGAUAACCAGCCAAACUGGAACGGGGAAACGGUCCAGACUCCUACGGGGGGAAGAAGAGGGGAAUAGUGGAAAAGGGGCGCAAGCCGGAUGAAGCCAGGCGGCGUGGGUGAAGAAGGCCUGCGGGUUGUAAAGCACUUUCAGCGGGGAGGCGUUACCCGCAGAAGAAGCACCGGCUAACUCCGUGCCAGCAGCCGCGGUAAUUC
rnacentral:rRNA from 1 species